rnacentral:rRNA from 1 species
GACGAACCGUGCGAACGUUGUUCGGAAUCACUGGGCUUAAAGGGCGCGUAGGCGGGCAAGCAAGUCCGGGGUGAAAGCCCCCAGCUCAACUGGGGAAGUGCCUUGGAAACUGCUUGUCUCGAGGAGGUAGGGGCCUGUGGAACUUCGGGUGGAGCGGUGGAAAUGCGUUGAUAUCCGAAGGAACGCCGGUGGCGAAGCGACGGGCUGGACCU